UUAUUAAGAUCCUCAAGGGAGAUAUAUGAGAGUUAGUUAAGAGGGGUACAGCCCUUUUAACAAAGGAUACAACCUUUACAGGAGGAUAAAGAUCAUAAUAUAUAAAACAUACUGUUUUAGUGGGCCUAAAAGCAGCCAUCUAAAUAGAAAGCGUUAAAGCUCAGACAGAAAGAAGUUUAUUAUACCGAUAAGGAAUCUUAUUCCCCUAAUUAUAUCAGAUCAACCCAUGCCCACAUGGAAGAGAUUAUGCUAGAAUGAGUAACAAGAAGACCUGCGCUUCUCCUUGCACAAGUGUAAACCAGCUCGGACAAACCACUGGAAAUUAACGAACCCAACCCAAGAGGGCAAUGUGGACAACAAAAAUCUCAAGAAGAAUUCACAAUUAAACUAAUCGUUAACCCCACACUGGAGUGCUAUUUUAUAAAGGAAAGACUAAAAGAUAGGGAAGGAACUCGGCAAACACAAGCCUCGCCUGUUUACCAAAAACAUCGCCUCCUGCAACUAAAUUGAGUAUAGGAGGUCCAGCCUGCCCAGUGACUACGGGUUCAACGGCCGCGGUAUUUUGACCGUGCAAAGGUAGCGCAAUCACUUGUCUCUUAAAUAGAGACCUGUAUGAAUGGCUAGACG
rnacentral:rRNA from 1 species